rnacentral:rRNA from 1 species
GACGAACGCUGGCGGCGUGCUUAACACAUGCAAGUCGAACGGAAAGGCCCUGCUUUUGUGGGGUGCUCGAGUGGCGAACGGGUGAGUAACACGUGAGUAACCUGCCCUUGACUUUGGGAUAACUUCAGGAAACUGGGGCUAAUACCGGAUAGGAGCUCCUGCUGCAUGGUGGGGGUUGGAAAGUUUCGGCGGUUGGGGAUGGACUCGCGGCUUAUCAGCUUGUUGGUGGGGUAGUGGCUUACCAAGGCUUUGACGGGUAGCCGGCCUGAGAGGGUGACCGGCCACAUUGGGACUGAGAUACGGCCCAGACUCCUACGGGAGGCAGCAGUGGGGAUAUUGCACAAUGGGCAGAAGCCUGAUGCAGCAACGCCGCGUGCGGGAUGACGGCCUUCGGGUUGUAAACCGCUUUCGCCUGUGACGAAGCGUGAGUGACGGUAAUGGGUAAAGAAGCACCGGCUAACUACGUG